CGCCGCUAGACCUCGUCGCCGGCCGUCGUCGUUCGCCGUUUGGUUCGAGGGUGGGUACCGUUGGGUUCGUCUCGUCGUCCUCUACGUGUUCUUGUCCUCCAAAGUCGCAGCCGACCAUCCAAUCUCCGGCGAGGUCGCCAUCUUGGUUCGGCCAUUGAUGAGGUCAUCAUCAUGACGUCAUCAUCGUUUUUUUCUUUUUCCUGUUUUUCUAAUAGAUUAAAUCUUCGGAAAUUCAUAACUAAAUCAUCGUAACUCGGUUUUGAGUGGUUCAAGUUGCUAAAUUCAUCUAAAAUCAUGAUCUACAUGUUUGUUUACUUUAUAUGUACUGUUUAUUUGGUUUUUAUUAGUCUUUUUCUUCGUUUUGCGUGUUAGUUUGUCGUUUCCGUCGUUGCGAAGGUUCGUGAGUGCGCCGGAAGUAUUCAAGAAGAUUAAUUGAAGACCGAUUAUUGCAAGGCAAGUCACACAGAUCCUAAACACAAUCCUUUGAGCAUGUUGAUCCUAUAUUUAAAUUCUCUAUUUAUUUCAACUGUGCAUUUAUUUUCGAAUGUCACCGGGUGGUGUGAACCUAUUCCUUUGUUAUGGCCAAUUUGCAUUGAUUACUUUAUUCCUUGAUACCUUGGGUAACAAAUUGAUUAGCUUGAACCUUAUAUAUUGGUUUGGUUCAGCUAAAUGCUAUGUAUAUAUAAUUGCUUAGCCAUGCUUAGAAACAUUAUCACAUAAUUGGGAUAACUAAUGUUACACUAUCACUUAUGAUUAUAUUUAAUGGUAGCUCACGAUGUUUAAUCGUGUUAUGAUAAUUAAUUGAUAACUAAAACUUGACAAUGGUGGGUUGUGAGCACAUGGUUUUGAAGGUCGUGCUCAUGACAAUUAAGGACCGGUUCACGAGCUACUGUUGUGAAAUAUUAACCGUACCAACCACAAGCCAGCAUGGGCAACGGCUUUACCUUCUGUAUAGCAUGAUUCAUUGCGGGGCACCAGACUGAGAAGCGGCGAGAAGUCCGUGGGGGUCGCUGGGGAGUCCAUGCCUCUGGUUAUAUUUAUAGAGGGGGUGAUUAUGAUCCAGGAAUGGUGCACUGUGGUGAGUUGUGUUGUGCAAAGGGUAUUGUCACAGCCUCUAUUCGGGUACUUUCCAGUAUCGCGACGCAUGGUAGACAUGAUGAUGAGGCUGUGUCUUGUGGGUACAGUGGUACACCUCUGGCCAGAGUAAAACUAUUCGAAUAGCCGUGCCCGCGGUUAUGGGCGGGUUGAGCAAUGUUUUUCGUGAUUAGUCUCACACCUCUCACAAUAAUUAUGGAUGUUAUACCUGGUAAUAAUUUGCUUAGCUCCUGGUUUGGAGUUAGAUCUGUACAGCCGGGUAUGGUUGUUCAGGAUGGUUGGGCCUGUGCAGCAUGGGUGUGUUGUUCAGUGUUGAUUAAAAUUUUUAAUUAAUUACUCUACUGUUUUACUACUCUUAACUCUUUGCUAAAUGCUGCUUUCGCAAAUGAGCCUAUAUUAUGCCAUCCUUUGGUAUCCUUGUGCACUUGCAUAUUUGCUGUGUGGCUUGUUGAGUAUGUCAUAUGCUCAUUCUUGCAAUAAUCAAUCAACCUCAGUUGAAGAUAAAGGAUCCAGAAGGAGAAGACGUUUGGCUUAUACCCCAGUUGAGUUGCCUGUGGGAGUGGAGCUGAAGCCAUCGCUAGACCGUUAAUUCCGCUGCAGUUUUCUUUUCUUUUGAAAGUAUGUAACACUAUUAUUGAUGAUUCUGUAUAUUAAAUUGUCAGUUUGUGUACCUCGGCUGAUUCCUGGACGAGGAUUUUAUGCACAAAUAAGUUCGGAAAUUAC
rnacentral:lncRNA from 1 species